UACAGAGGUCUCAACCGUUGUUCGGAUUCAUUGGGCGUAAAGGGUGCGUAGGCGGUCGGGUAAGUCGGAUGUGAAAUCCCAGGGCUCAACCCUGGAACUGCAUUCGAUACUGCCUGGCUAGGGUACUGGAGAGGAGACUGGAAUUUGCGGUGUAGCAGUGAAAUGCGUAGAUAUCGUGAGGAAGACCAGUGGCGAAGGCGGGUCUCUGGACAGUUCCUGACGCUGAGGCGCGAAGGCCAGGGGAGCAAACGGG
rnacentral:rRNA from 1 species